GUCUGGCUGGCUCAGUCAGUAGAGCGUGUGACUCCUGAUCUCAGAGGCAUGAGUUCGAGCCCCAUGGUGGGUA
rnacentral:tRNA from 1 species